rnacentral:rRNA from 1 species
UACGUAGGUGGCAAGCGUUGUCCGGAUUUAUUGGGUUAAAGGGUGCGUAGGCGGCUUUGUAAGUCAGUGGUGAAAUAUGGCAGCUCAACUGUCAAGGUGCCAUUGAUACUGCGGAGCUUGAGUACAGAUGAGGUAGGCGGAAUUGACGGUGUAGCGGUGAAAUGCUUAGAUAUCGUCAAGAACACCUAUAGCGAAGGCAGCUUACUAGGCUGUAACUGACGCUGAGGCACGAAAGUGUGGGGAUCAAACAGG